rnacentral:lncRNA from 1 species
UGGACACAAAAGCGGAAAAAAUAAUUCUUGAAAAUUUCAAUAUAUUAAGAACCAAAAGUUGAUUAAUUUUUGUAAAGAAAGAAAGAAAGAAAGAAAAGCGGAAAAAAAAAAGGAACUUACUUGAGGUGUUGGAGUUGGUGCUGGAGGAGAUGUAGAAAUAGAACGGGGGCGAGAAGGCUGAGAAGGUGGAGGAGUAGCAAUUCUUGGAGCUUGGCGAGAAGGCUGAGAAGGUGGAGGAGUAGCAAUUCUUGGAGCUGUAACUCUUCUGCCACCAUUAAUAACAAUCCUCAAAGGAUUUGUUGGG